UCCGAGUUGACCCCGGCAGUCUCUUAUGAGUCCCCACCAUGACGUGCUGGCAACAUAAGACGAGGGUUGCGCUCGUUGCGGGACUUAACCCAACAUUUCACAACACGAGCUGACGACAGCCAUGCAGCACCUGUCACUCGGUUCCCGAAGGCACUCCGCCGUCUCCGGCAGAUUCCGAGGAUGUCAAGGGUAGGUAAGGUUCUUCGCGUUGCCUCGAAUUAAGCAACAUGCUCCGCCGCUUGUGCGGGCCCCCGUCAAUUCCUUUGAGUUUUAGCCUUGCGGCCGUACUCCCCAGGCGGGGCACUUAAUGCGUUAGCUGUGGCACGGAGUCCGUUGAUAGAACCCCACACCUAGUGCCCAACGUUUACGGCGUGGACUAC
rnacentral:misc_RNA from 1 species